rnacentral:lncRNA from 1 species
GCGCGUUCUCACUCGCGAAAAAAAAAUGGUUGUUUGAUUGUAGUGCCCCCUGGUGGCCAAAGGCAGUGCAAAGGCUGUCGCUGAAAAGAAAGCGAAUACAGAACCCAUCAAGCUCCUAAUUGCCUAGGUUUAUAGGUCUUUUCCCAGGUUGUACGCCUGAGGGUAAUACUAGUGGCUCUCUCUCUGUGGGCUGUAUACCAUGUUGGUGAGCUCAGUUUUAUAAAGGGAAAGUUUGCUUUGUAAAACGGCUGUCCCAAAGAGUUACGGGGUCCUGGAACACCCACCAAAGGACCUCACUGUUCACUGCCAUCUGGAGUUGAGGAACCCAUGACCUCCAGGUGAUUCUGGUGCACGCAAAGUUCGGAGAGUCCCACACUAGAGCGAUGCUUAAUAAACCUGCGCUGUUUCCAAUGGUAACCAGGGGUGAAUAUGAAGAAAGCCAGACCUCAGGAUGGAAAAGCAAUAACCAGGCCUGCAUGUCUCCCUGGAGAUAAACAGCAACUUGAGACUAGACUGCAAUUGGCACCACCAAGACCAGUGAGCCCAGACAGGCAUUAGGCACACAGAUAGAGGAAAAGUGAGAUUGAAAUCCAGGUCCAUUGAUCCCAAAGUCCAUCUUUGGCUACAAAUCAACAAAUCACACCUGGCCUCUCCUGAAGGGAAGUGAGUUUCCACUCUCAUCUCUCCUGCUAGGCUGGAGGAGGGAGAAUCCAGAGCGGAGAACACUGAGGCAGCUGGAGGAACUGAUUUCGCUGUCCUGUGUGGAGCAGGGCAGUUGAAACCAGGACCUCACUACCAGCAUUAUUUAAAUCCCUGAGCUACCUGGAGGAAACUCUGUGACUAUAGAAUACAUUCUAGAAAAGUUCAGCAGUUUCAGUCAGAAUAUAUUCAUGGCAAUAUGGUUAUGUUGGUGUUUCUAAUAAAUUAUAUAUGGGGGGGUAACAACAAACACGCAUAAAUCUGAAUAAGCUUCUGGAUACUAACUACGAGUUUUCUGUAAACAGAACAUAUUGAGGAACAAAUUAAACAACACUGUGGAAGGGGCAACAAGCACACUCCAGACAGGAAAACUGCAGCACAACCAACCUGGCUUAUUCAGCAGAAAAAUGCCAGGAAAACAAAACAAACCAAAAAUAGGGUGGCGAAACAUGUAAAAAAAUACUUGCAGUAUGUAAACAUAAUACAAGCUAUGGCUCUUUAAUUAAAAAAAAAUUAAUUGUAAAAGC